rnacentral:snoRNA from 1 species
UGCAGAUGAUGGCUCUUUCCAUGGAUAGUCUGGGGAUGCCCCUACAGGUGCUGCCAAUAAUGCCAAUGGCUCAGCAGAUGCCAGGAA